rnacentral:tRNA from 1 species
CAGCUCAGCGGUUGAACACUCGCUUCACAAGCGAUAGGUCGGUGGUUCGAACCCACUAGG